CCUACGGGAGGCAGCAGUGAGGAAUAUUGGUCAAUGGCCGGAAGGCUGAACCAGCCAUGCCGCGUGAAGGUCAGUGCCCUAUGGGCGUUAAACUUCUUUUGUGCGGGAGCAAUAAUGGUCACGUGUGGCCAGACGAGAGUACCGUACGAAUAAGCAUCGGCUAACUCCGUGCCAGCAGCCGCGGUAAUACGGGGGAUGCAAGCGUUAUCCGGGUUUAUGGGGGUGAAAGGGUGCGUAGGCGGUGAGGUAAGUCAGCGAUGAAAUGCCCCCGCUCAACGGGGUGAAGUGCCAUUGAUACUGCCGUGCUGGAAUGCGGAUGCCGUGGGAGGAAUGUGUGGUGUAGCGGUGAAAUGCAUAGAUAUCAGACAGAACACCGAUUGCGAAGGCAUCUCACGAAUCCGCGAUUGACGCUGAUGCACGAAAGCGUGGGUAUCAAACAGGAUUAGAUACCCCAGUAGUC
rnacentral:rRNA from 1 species